CUGACUGUCAGCUGGGACGGGCUGGCUUAACCCUUGCCGCGCCGCGCUCCCCGGGCGCGCGAGCCAGGCCCCGCGCAAAGUUUGGCGCAAGAAGGCCCGCAGGAGGAUCGAAGAGCUAGAACUAUUGUUGGACCCGGUUGGUUUGUGCCUCAACAGCGCCACCUUUCGGCAAAGGGCAGAGCUGACCAGCGUCCACUCCAUUUCACUAUGAAACCACCUGAAUUGAUCUGCGAAAGAGUUCUUUAGAGGAACUGAAUGAUGAGGCGCCCGCUGUUCUUAGGUCUCGUGUUAGAUAAAUCCUUUUAACAGUCUUCAGUUAGCAGGCAAUUCACAGUUGUAAGUUAAAGCCGCUCUCUCUUUGAAGACACAUCUUUUAUAAUUUUUAUUAGAGCGUUCUUCCCAGGCUGUGUCAUGAAAUGCGUGUUUGUUUUGCACACGAAGACGUGGAAGAUCCAGGUGUGUUCCCAAGCGAGGACUCCUGGGAAGGUGGACCAGAUGGGGGCCAGCUCGCUCCCCCUUCUUUAUCCCACAAAGGCCCCCACAGUGGCCUGGCAGAUGGGAGGUGCUUGGUGAAUGGCCUUGUGUAUGCUGUCCGCGAGAGUGUUAAAUGAAAGGACUUCUGGGUCCAGGCCGUACAAGGGAUGUAAAAUGAGGGGCCCGGGUCCCCACUCUUGCCACCCCGCAUCCACACAUUUCUGUGCUGUUUCUGUCUCCCUUUGCAGGGCAGGGCCGUCUCCCUGGGUUUUCCUUUUCCUUCGCUGAGGGGCUGUUGAUGACCACGAGUCCGUCAGCAUCCCUGUGGGCCCUCUUUGACAUUUACACUGGUGAGGGGGGUUUCUCUCCACAGCGUUUAUCCCUCCAACGAAUUCUACUGUGCCUACACCUGGGCCCUUGAACGUCUCCACAUAUGCCGUGAUGCCAAGCACUACUGCUUCCUGCUUGCUCACUCCCAGGUGCACGUACGUGAGUAACUGCAGCCCUCUGAGGGUUCAAGUCCCAUCCCAGCACUGACGCCAGGUGCCCAAGGGGAAGCCUCUCACCACAGAGUGAGCUCCACGCCCCAGCUCCUGAGCUGCGGUCGUCUGCCCCACACGCAGGCCAUGAUUUCAUGAGCAGACACGCAACAGCAGUGACUCAUGGUGCGUGCAUUUUGGACUCGCUCCCCUGGGCCCUUCUGUUUCCCCCUUCCUAGGUUUGUGUGCUUAUCUGAACCCAAGCGCAGACGUGUGUGCGUCUUACUCGAUUCAGUCUUAAUCUCUGUGCCGGGUGCAGAUGACAUUGAUGUGCUUUGGACCUGCAGCACCUGCAGACUGGGAUACUGCUGGGUCUCGGAAGUGCACCUGUGAAAUGUCCCUAAGGAGGCGGGGCCCCAGGGGAGCUCUGUGAACAGUGCUCGACUGCUUUUCUUACCAUGCCCAGGAUUGAUAAAGACUGGGAGGGACCAAGCCCUGUGGCAUCCCAGGGUAGACUGUUCCCCACAACCCUCAUGACCUCUGACUCCCUUAAGUCCCCUAAUAGACAUUUUAAACUGAGCUACCUGGUAAGCAGGGGUAAUUUUAAAUUAAAUCGCCCCCAUCUGGGUAUUCUACAUAGACGAGAACUUCAAAAAGUUUGCUGAAAAUGGAAUCAAAAGAUAAGCUUAUUUGGGUGCAGUGUUUUUAAAAAAUUUACCAUUUAAGAGGUCUUCAAAAAAGUUCAUGAAAAAAACAUGUAUUAUGCCAAUACUAUGCAUGGGUUUCAAAUAUUUGUGGCACGAACAUAAGCUUAUCUUUUAAAUCCAUUUUUCCCACAAACUUGCAGACAUACCCUCGCAUAUCCUUUGAAUCAGUUUUCUGGGUCCAGGCACAGCUCUCCGUGGAAGAGGCUACGUUACUGGGCAACUGCUUCGCGAUUCACACCUGUCUGUGUCUUUGUAAACCUUGGCUCUGUCAAAAUAUGUAGCAGUUGUCCGAAGUUGGGACCGCAGAGACUAAUAAAAAAUAGAUGAAACCUGGCCAAACUCAGCAGAAGAGGCCUGUGUGCGUCUGAAAGCGUCUCUGAGAGGCUCUCUCUGCUCUUGUUUGGAUCACCCAUUCCCCUGCUGAUUCCUGCCGCGCGUGCUGAAGCCAGUGGCUCGGAGGCAUUUUCCUGAACAGAAGAGUUCAGAAUUUACAGUGUCUGCCUUUGAGCUGCGGCCAGGGCCCCAGUCUGUCUGAAUGUGCAGGCUUUUGCACAAUCUCCCGUUUGAGGCCUCCCUUGCUCCCUUUCAGAGAGACCUGGGAGGAGCGCAGGGACCAGCCCAUGAGUUAUUUAUGACCUGUCUCUGUGUCCUGUGUGAGAGAGCUGGGCUCUGGCUGGUUCAGCAGCCCCAGUCCGGGAUUGCCAGAGCUCAGGGGAGAGAAAGGGACCCCGGAGGCAGGCAUCGCUGACUGUUGACUUGUGGCUGGGGGAGGAGCUGCUGAUUAGGCGUCAUGGUGUCACAGUGAGGCACGCUUGGCUGUGGCAGACUGGAGUGUGAAGGACACGGGUGGCAGGGAGGGGGAGGGGGUGGCCUGGAGACAAAGCUUGAAGUCAGCCCCCAGGUCACUGUUCAGGCUGCAAAUGGACUGAACUGCAUGAAGGCGUUAAAAAAAAAAUACCAAUCCUGGAUUGCAUGGAGGGACUGCCUUCAGCUGUUUGGGGCUGGAUAGAUGGGAACAGGGGCCAGACGGCCAGAGACACGGGAGAGAGCUGACCCGGGGUUGCCGUGGGGGCGAUGACAAGGCAUGAGGGCAAAGCUGGGCUGUCUUUGAGGAUGAAGUGACAGAGCUAGCACCUUGAGGCCGGGGGCUGCUGUUUGGGACUGGUAUUGUGUGGAGCCUCGGUCCUAAGGCAGACGAACCUCGCAGGUGCCUUGCUUUGGCAUCACGCCAGUGAGGGUGCGCGUCCUGCUCCGCGCCACGCGUGAGACCUCGGCUACAUUUGCUGAGCUCUCUGGGUCUCAGCCUCUGCUUUGGUCAAAGAGUUUUUGUGUUUUUGAAACACACAGAUACCGCACGCCCGGCACAGUGCCUGUCCCGCAGUGGGGGCUCUGCCAGUGUGGUUAGCGCGUGCCCGAGGGUGGUGUAGAGGGACCUGGGCACUAUCUCCCCUCUUUUGUCUUUUCUGCUCCUGCCUUCAGGUUGCACUUUCCCUGGCCUCUUUCUUCCCUCUGGCCUGGGAGUCCGCUCACCUGGGAUUCUACCUGUCCCUCUCUGCCUGUCCUGCGCCCUGGCUAGUGCGGAUCGGUCCUCAGGUCCUCGGUCUCCUCUGGAAAGCCUUCCUGGUCCUCUCGCCUCCUGCGCCCUAAGGCAUGCCAGGUGCCCCGCUGUCGGGCUCCCCGUGUCUGAGUCCCCGCGAUGCUGUGUUAGUUCCCUUCUUAGCUGUGGGCAUUCUGAAGCCAUGGGCAUCUCCCACACCUACCACAGAGCCUGGCACGCAGUAGGUGCUCAAUGAUAUCUAUUCAAUGAACGUGACUAUGCAAAAGCUCAGAUUCCUC